UGGGGAAUAUUGCACAAUGGGCGCAAGCCUGAUGCAGCCAUGCCGCGUGUAUGAAGAAGGCCUUCGGGUUGUAAAGUACUUUCAGCGGGGAGGAAGGCGAUGCGGUUAAUAACCGCGUCGAUUGACGUUACCCGCAGAAGAAGCACCGGCUAACUCCGUGCCAGCAGCCGCGGUAAUACGGAGGGUGCAAGCGUUAAUCGGAAUUACUGGGCGUAAAGCGCACGCAGGCGGUUUGUCAAGUCGGAUGUGAAAUCCCCGGGCUCAACCUGGGAACUGCAUCCGAAACUGGCAGGCUUGAGUCUCGUAGAGGGGGGUAGAAUUCCAGGUGUAGCGGUGAAAUGCGUAGAGAUCUGGAGGAAUACCGGUGGCGAAGGCGGCCUCCUGGACGAAGACUGACGCUCAGGUGCGAAAGCGUGGGGAGCAAACA
rnacentral:rRNA from 1 species